rnacentral:rRNA from 1 species
CAACUUUGAGCGGUGGAUCACUCGGCUCGUGUGUCGAUGAAGAGCGCAGCCAACUGUGUGAAUUAAUGUGAACUGCAUACUGCUUUGAACAUCGACAUCUUGAACGCACAUUGCGA